GAUGAAGAACGUAGCGAAAUGCGAUAAGUAGUGUGAAUUGCAGAAUUCAGUGAAUCAUCGAAUCUUUGAACGCACAUUGCGCCUUCUAGUAUUCUGGGAGGCGUGCCUGUUUGAGCGUCAUUAAACCUCUCUCAAGUAUGAUUACUUGGAUGUGAAGGAAGAGUACCUUAAACUUAAGGAGUGUUCUCCUUUGAAAUUGAUUAGCAGAUGGUAAUGUUAUUAAAUCCCUGAUGUUGUAAGAAAUAACAGUGGUUUUGUAGACUAUUAUCUAGCUUUAAAUUAUAAUUUUUAUUAUGGUUGACCUCAAAUCAGGUAAGGAUACCCGCUGAACUUAAGCAUAUCAAUAAGCGGAGGA
rnacentral:misc_RNA from 1 species